GUUGCGGUGUGCCGUGGGGGGACGACCCGGACAUGGCGCCGCGUCCCGCCGCCCGUCGUCGGCCCUCGGGCUCCCGACGCGGGGCAGCACGGUGGAGUAUCCGCUGAGGGAAGGGACCAGGUGCAGCCUGGAAACGGGGGCUCCUUGGAUUGUGUUCAGGCUGUUCCUGACAACAGCAGGUCAAAGUGUCAUCCUUGUGCAUAUUGUGAUUGUAUGUCUCUUGAGCAAGAAAUGGAAUUGCUGAGCUGCCCUGUGAAAGCCAUCAAGUAAGGCCAUGCAUGUUGUUUCUUCUUUCUUAGACCAGGCUGGCCUCGAACUCACAGAGAUCCACCUGCCUCUGCCUCCAGAGUGCUGGGAUUAAAGGCGUGCACCACCAUGCACCUGGCUCCAUGCUGUAUCUUGAAGAACUCAAAUGAUCAGGAAUGAUGGAUGGCCCAUGCUGUGAUCCCAGCACUUGGGAGGUGGAGGGAGAAGGAUAAGAAGUUCGAGGUCAUCUUCCACUACAGGGUGGCAUGAGACCCUGUCUAAAAGAAAAGCCAAUACAAAUAAAAGAACUUAAAUAAGCA